GGGGGUCGGGCCGGGGCUGUAGGAGGGCUGUGAGCUGUGACAGCCCAGAGCCCUCUCGCUGUCUCCCAAGGGAUGUUUCUUUCAUUCCUUUCUUUCGUCUUUCCUUUCACCAACGUUGACUGACUUUCUGACCUGGCUCUUUAGGUUUCCAUCCUGAAAGCAGCACCCUGAUCUCACUCAAGGCCGGUUCUCACUGCACUGCAGUGACCCGGGACUGGUCAGGAGCCACCUAGACGAGACCUGCCGUUGGCAGUGAUAUGCAGGGACCCUCAAGCCUCCGUCCCAUACUGUCACUGCAGGGUCCUACUACCUUGGUGUGUCGGUAAGUCUCCAAAGGUAGCCGCGUGAUUGGUGAGCCAGCCGCCCCUGCUGUUACAACUCAGAUAAGAAACUUGGCUCCGGAAGGCUUUGACCUUGAGUUGAAUCUUUCCAGGUCUGAAACCCUUAUAAAAGUACUAGAAGAAACCAGGGGACACCUCCAAGUGAGACCUUCCUAAACAGGACUCAGAACCCAAAGCCUUAAAAGGCAAAACACUGAUACACUCAACUACAAAAAACAAACCUACAUGACAAAAGACUUCAAAGUCAAAAGGAAAUAGUAGAAGAAAAAAUUUGGAACACCCGUGGCAGACAAGGAGCCUUUGCUUUGUAAGUAAAGAGUUCCUACAAAAAUAAGAACAAAAACCCCAAAGUCGAGUUGACCAAGGAUGUGUGACAGAAGCUGCCAGUUGCCUCCCAGUAUCCUCUGUCCUCUUCUCCCUUCUUCACGGAUACCCGGGCAAUGCUCCCGGUUAAGAAGCCCUGUGGUCCAGGUACCCUCAGACGUAGCCAUGUCAGAGUUGUCGCUGAGGCAGAAGCGAAGUGUCCCAGAGAGCUUCUGGAAGACUUCUAAGCUUAGAAGAGGCACAUACCUUCUGGCCGUUUUCUUUUUCCUUCUUGCAGCCUGCGAUGUAGACACAAUGGCUGGUCUUCCAGCAGCUAUCUUGGGCCAUAAGUGACCUAUAAGACGGAGCCACAUUUUAACAUGGUACCAGAGAAAGAAACAGGGACCUUGAGACCCUGAUAAGCUUGCAGCCUUCAUGCCAGCCUGAACUACUCAUCUCGAUAGGACCUGUGUGGGAGUAAACCUCGAGUUUAAAGCCUCUGUAGUCUGACCUCCUACCCAGAACCACCCUGAUACCAGUCUUAACUGGCAGUCCAGCAGGGUCCGACUGCCGCACUGCUCCAUCUCAAGGUCACCUUCCAAGGAGUUCAAUUAAUUGUGAAGGCGGGGUCUCCAGAAGACCCACUGUGGAAGGAAACCAGCCCGCCACACCAGCAGGCCGAGAGAUCCCAAGACCCGACGGAGAGCUGGCCUCUCCAGAUGACAGCUGCACAGUGACCUCUGAAGUGCUCUGUGAGCGUCUGGGUGCUCUGAAUAUGGGGCAGCGCAGGGAGAAAUAAAACGUCAAAUAUUAUUUUCAUUUUUCUCCUUUUCCUCCGACAUGGUUUAUUUGUCACAAUCACACAUUCUAACUGGAGCGUGGAAUUCCUGGAAUUCACGGCUGUGCAGGGGAGGAAACCAGAGUCCCUGAGGCAGCACGGACCUUAGUCGCCAUCACAUUUUCCCACGUCCUGAAGCUGUAAACGUUGACUUCGUCCUUUUUCAGGUUUUCAGACAGCGUACCAGAAAGAACGGGAUACUGUGAUCCAGUAGAGAUGCAGUGUUCUUUGCUAGCUUGAUCUUUUGGCGGCUCUCACCCACCUGCAGGCAACCCUGAAUGUUGCAUCCCAGGACAACUGCCGGGUGAAGGGGCUCCACUUCAGCGACGCUGAUCUCCUGGUGCAGUGCUGUCUGUCAGAGCCUCUGCCCUGGGAAGUGAUGGAGAUGCUUUACGUCCGGGCCGUCCGAUGUGGGGACCACUCGUCACGUGUGGCUGUUGUCAACGAGGAACUGAAUCUCUUAUCCGAUUGCAUCUUAAUUCAGGGAGAAAACCUGCCACACUGUGUCCAGCUUCUCGCACGCGGCACCAGCACGUUAGGCGCGGACUGGAUUAGAAACCCUCCCGAGAUGUGUGACGUCUUCGUCACUUUGAGCCACAGAGAUGGUUCCUUCAACUUGGCUCUUCCUCCCUGGCCCUCGAAGAGUUGGAUGGCGUGAGACUCGACCCCAGCAGGGGCCGGGGGACCUACUGAAGGCUUUGGCGAUUGGCGGGGACGCUGCUUCCCUGCAGGUGGGGUCUGUGAUGCCUCCAAGGUCAGGAGCCCCGUCUUCCAAGCCACGUCUUGUGACCCAGAGUCCACGAUGGGCCGUCAGUCAUGGUCGAGGCGAUGGUCAGAGGCUCUGCCUUCUGUGAACUCGUGAACAUCUUCUCAGCAGGUUGGGGUUGGGGUUUAUAGAGCAAGAAACAGAAUUCUAGCCUCUAAGUCAAUGAGAGAUGACCUCCAGGCUUCCUCCCCGACCCCCAAGCAGGUCUGUUCCUCGAAGGCCAGAACCCUAUCUUUCCAACACCGGUCCCCGUCUUCUGUGGACAAAAACUGAAAGCUUAAUGAAAUUACCUUUUCCCUUUUUCUAAGUGCUCCAGGGUGCUCCAAGACGUAAAGCAAAAACAUCCUUUUCCUUCUAACUGCGGUCCCAAGAGCACGCUCAGUAAACUCCCUAGAGGCAGCUGGGAGGGAAGACGCGGCCCCGGCGCCCGCUCGGCAGCCUCGCCACGCCCGGCACCGCCGUUCCCGCGGGGGUAGCAGUUGUGGGCCUGCUCUGAUGUGGUGCCGGCUGCCGGGAUCAAAGCUGGGCUCGGGUUUCUCCCCUUUGAGCCGAAAUGCUCUAGCCUGUGAUUUGUUCACCCGCUGAGACAGAUGUGGGCGCCUGGCCUGCUGUCAUCGGCCCUGUAAUCUUGCCGGAGUGAGGGGUGCUCCCAGGAGAGGGUGUCGCGGUGGAAGCGCCCCACGUCAGCAGAGCUGCAGCGGCCUCCCCACCAGCCGGCGCCUGGGGCCUGAGGCACGACGGGAGCAGAUGCAGAGCUUUCAGUCAGACUCAGCCUUUGAUCCCAAACUACUCCUAUGCCAGGGACCCGUUGUAUUAAGUCAUUGCCAGAGUCCUGGGAUAUAAUAAAAGCACAGCUGGACCAGAGUGGGGAAGGAGGCUUAAAUGAUGCCACUGAAACUCGGGUUCUUAAGGGGUGAGAUACACCUGUUAGUUGCCUGAGGCGAAGACACUUACGCCCUCCUGGAUCUCAGUGACAGCUUCCCGCUCACAGCGUGGGUCUCCCAGGCCGCUGUGUGUUUAGCCAGCACAGUGACAGGUGUGGUGAAAGACACAGAAGAAGUUAUUCUUUCCUCCUGCAAAGGUUUGGAGAUCGCUUACCAGGACAUACACAAUAAAAAUGGUAAAAGUGAAAACAGGUGAAACACGGGAUCAGGGAAAACAAGUAAGAGGGGUAAUUGGAAGAAAGAAACACAAGCCUCUGCCCUGCCUCCAGGAGAGCGCGGUCUGGGUGAGGGGAAACGCGCUGACGGGUACGAGGAACGUUGGGAAACAGGGCCUCCCUGUAGUAGUAACUGUGAGGCGGAGACGAUGAGCACAACGUGCGCGGGGAGGAGAGGGAGGCUGCGGGCAGGCGUGAGUCUCAGAUGAAAGGGGCUGGGAUCCGGGCCUCGAGGUUGGAGGCAUUCCCACCACAUGUCCGAGGAAGGCCAGGACCACGGCACCACGGCGCAGCGGGAGACGCGAGGCAGCUCCUCUCCAGGAGACGGAGCCCCGGGCUCACGCAGGAAACGUGGGAUUUGCUGGGAGCCCAGGGCCAGGUGCCGGCAAGUCGGGAAAGGCAAGCAGGAGGCUCGCCUCGAUCCCGCUGGGGGCUUUCUGGUGCGGAGGGCGUGGAGAGGAGCCCCCACCCCCUGGCAGUCGUGUGUGAGAUUGGAGUGGGAGCCGGGCGGGGGGCAGAGGGGGUGAAGAGGGACGCCCGGUGGAAGAGACAGGAGAAAGCGCCCAUCGGAACUAAUGGCUGAAGAAUAUGGAGAUGCUGACUAUACUUCAAUUUACAAAAAGAAAAAAAAUACAGAGAUGGAGGGGACAGGACAAAAACCACGUGUAAGAUCUGUGUCGGGGUGACCCUGGCAGGAAUGGAGCCUCUUGGGGGUGCAGAACUCGGGGAGGCAAGCGGUUCCAGGUCUUGAUGGGAAGUUUUAUUUUGGAAAUGUUGAGUUGGAAAUGCUAAGUUGGAAAUGAUGGCAGGCGUUUAAACUAAAUUUCUUGCUGAAAACAGGACAUUUAAGUUCAAGUAGGGUGACAGUGAGAAAGCCACCAGCCGGAUGACUUUGACCUCCUUCAAGGAGAGGGCUGGGUGGGCAGGACCAGCCAGGACCGAGGGCAGUGGUUUGGGAAGGCUCACAGGGACCGUGCUUCCCUCUGGUGAUGAGGGCGGGAGGAGGGUCAGGACAUGUCCCGGUCACAGCAGCCAGGAGGGCGCUUCCAGUAGGAGAGGCCAAGCGGGAGCCAUGGCAGUGGACGGGGUGCCGAGGAGGCGCUCGGUGCUCCCCGGUCUCCCAUCUCACGGAGCCCCUGAGUGGGAUGCUACAUGUGACCUCCUGGGACCUUCUGCUCACAAGGCUUUGGAACCAAACCAAGAAGUUCUUGGCAGCCAUCCUGACCCUCUUCCUCCCUCUGUUUAAAAAUAAAAAAAAGAAAAGCAAUUUCUCUUUGAGAAAAGAACGCAAAGACCUUGUAGACAUGAUAAAGUCGAGCUGAAAUAAAUUCCUGUGUUCUUGCUAUAAUUAGUUGUGCAGUGAUGUGUAAUUCUGCUGGCGUACAGGGAUUGACAUACAAAAAGUGUGUCUUUAAAAUCGUACAGAAAUCUCACUGAACAAAGCCCAAAAUCUGAUAUGCAAACAUGACAGUUUCCAUUUUUUUUUUGUGUUGUGUGCAAAGAAAGAACAGAGUGUUUAUGAAACAGUCACCAACCCCACUGUCCACCUUGCUGUUUGUAUAAUUGCAGAGAGCCCAUGUCCCUGGUACAAGUAGCAGUUUGGACUUGCCUCUGUGAACACCUGCAAGCAUCCCACUUGCUGUUGGACCUGCUCCAUGGCCAGGUGUUCCCUUCGUGGGAUUUCUGUCUGUCCGUAAUCCUGUUCUCAGCUUCUUGUUACACCUCUCCCUCUGGGUGUGUGGCCACGGAAGAAACACGUUAUUGUGGAUUCUGUCUGUUAACUCACGAUCAAGGACACGGGGUGACGUGAAGAUGUGUUUCCUUCGUGACGGGACAGAAUGGAGGAGAAGUACCCAGAACUGCGUGUUUCUCCUUCAAGGGAAGGAGAUGUCCUGGGACCCAGACCAUCCCGCUGAUCCUCACAGACCCAGUCCGGACAGUGGGUCCCUGGGCCUCAGACGGCAAAAACGGGCCUGGGGCGUGGUCGCCAGAUGCAGUGGGAGACCCUCCGGUGCUUUACAGGCCCCCGUCCUCCUGCCCUGGGCUAACGGGCU